rnacentral:rRNA from 1 species
GAUAAGGUUAAGUGAAUAAGGGCGCACGGUGGAUGCCUUGGCACUAGGAGCCGAUGAAGGACGGGACUAACACCGAUAUGCUUUGGGGAGCUGUACGUAAGCUAUGAUCCAGAGAUUUC